UACGAAGGGGGCUAGCGUUGCUCGGAAUCACUGGGCGUAAAGGGCGCGUAGGCGGCGUUUUAAGUCGGGGGUGAAAGCCUGUGGCUCAACCACAGAAUGGCCUUCGAUACUGGGACGCUUGAGUAUGGUAGAGGUUGGUGGAACUGCGAGUGUAGAGGUGAAAUUCGUAGAUAUUAGGAAGAACACCAGUGGCGAAGGCGGCUCACUGGCCCGGUACUGACGCUGAGGCGCGAAAGCGUGGGGAGCAAACAGG
rnacentral:rRNA from 1 species